UACAGAGACUGCAAGCGUUAUUCGGAUUCACUGGGCGUAAAGGGUGCGCAGGCGGUCGGGUGUGUCAGAUGUGAAAUCCCGAGGCUCAACCUCGGAACUGCGUCUGAAACUACUCGACUAGAGUACUGGAGAGGGUAACGGAAUUCACGGUGUAGCAGUGAAAUGCGUAGAUAUCGUGAGGAACACCAGAGGCGAAGGCGGUUACCUGGACAGUUACUGACGCUCAGGCACGAAAGCAUGGGGGAGCAAAAGGG
rnacentral:rRNA from 1 species